rnacentral:rRNA from 1 species
GAUGAAAGCAGGGACCCCGCAAGGCCUUGUCUCUGGAGCGGCGAUUUCGAUAGCUAGUGGUGGUAAGGCCACCAGCACGAUCAGUAGCUGGUCUGAGGAGACGACAGCCACACUGACUGAGUCACGUUCAGACUCUACGGGAGGCAGCAGUGGGGAAUUUGACAUGGGGCACCUGAUCCAGCAAUGCCGCGUGAGUGAGAAGGCCUUCGGGUGUAAGCUCUUUGUCAGGGAAGAAAAGGCUGUGGCUAUAUCUACGGCUCAUGACGGUACCUGAAGAAUAAGCACGGGCUAACUACGUGCCAGCAGCCGCGGUAAUACGUAGGGUGCAAGCGUUAAUCGGAAUUACUGGGCGUAAAGCGUGCGCAGGCGGUUUUGUAAGACUGUCGUGAAAUCCCCGGGCUCAACCUGGGAAUGGCGAUGGUGACUGCAAGGCUAGAGUUUGGCAGAGGGGGGUAGAAUUCCACGUGUAGCAGUGAAAUGCGUAGAUAUGUGGAGGAACACCGAUGGCGAAGGCAGCCCCCUGGGUCAAAACUGACGCUCAUGCACGAAAGCGUGGGGAGCAAACAGGAUUAGAUACCCUGGUAGUCCACGCCCUAAACGAUGUCUACUAGUUGUCGGGUCUUAAUUGACUUGGUAACGCAGCUAACGCGUGAAGUAGACCGCCUGGGGAGUACGGUCGCAAGAUUAAAACUCAAAGGAAUUGACGGGGACCCGCACAAGCGGUGGAUGAUGUGGAUUAAUUCGAUGCAACGCGAAAAACCUUACCUACCCUUGACAUGGCAGGAAUCCCGGAGAGAUCUGGGAGUGCUCGAAAGAGAACCUGCACACAGGUGCUGCAUGGCUGUCGUCAGCUCGUGUCGUGAGAUGUUGGGUUAAGUCCCGCAACGAGCGCAACCCUUGUCAUUAGUUGCUACGCAAGAGCACUCUAAUGAGACUGCCGGUGACAAACCGGAGGAAGGUGGGGAUGACAUCAAGUCCUCAUGGCCCUUAUGGGUAGGGCUUCACACGUCAUACAAUGGUACAUACAGAGGGCCGCCAACCCGCGAGGGGGAGCUAAUCCCAGAAAGUGUAUCGUAGUCCGGAUCGUAGUCUGCAACUCGACUACGUGAAGUUGGAAUCGCUAGUAAUCGUGGAUCAGCAUUCGCCCCACCUUUC